AAUGCUCAUUUAACAAAAUAUCUCAAAGUCAAGUUCAUAAAGUAACUUUCUUUGCAUUCAUUUGAUUCCCAAUCAAGAUACUCUGGUAAGAAGUUUCCAUUGUUAAUAUGAACUUAAAAAACGUUCUGGAAUGCAAAAUAAUAGAAUUUUAAUUCAUUGUGAUUAACUAUAGAAAUUCAGCGAUUAAUCGCGAUU